rnacentral:rRNA from 1 species
UACGUAGGGUGCGAGCGUUGUCCGGAAUUAUUGGGCGUAAAGAGCUCGUAGGCGGUUCGUCGCGUCGAAUGUGAAAACCCGGGGCUCAACUCCGGGCCUGCAUUCGAUACGGGCGGACUAGAGUUCGGUAGGGGGAGACUGGAAUUCCUGGUGUAGCGGUGAAAUGCGCAGAUAUCAGGAAGAACACCAAUGGCGAAAGCAGCUCUCUGGGACGGUACUGACGCUGAGACGCGAAAGCGUGGGGAGCGAACAGG